UGGCCCCUCAUGCAUAUAUGAAGGACAUCAAACGGGCCAUGCGUUUAGUUUAUGUAAUUAUCCAAGUGAUUAAUUUGUCCUAUUGGUUGGAGUCAAUGAUGGAGAAAAACCAAAUUUCACAAUUCAUGUUUGUUAUGUAUAUGAAUCUGAUCAUUGUAUAUGUCUAUGGAGAAGAUGUUAUAUGUUUAUGUGUUAUGGCAUGUGAUAUGGCUUACUCGUGAAGCCCACGUGACUCAAAGCUUGGUUCAAACUUGACAUGUUAUAUAGUCUUCUACUUUUUUUUUUUGAAAAGAAAAAAAAAGUACAUAUUGACUAUGAUUCUUUACUAAUUAAAUUCCAUAAUUACUAAGUUUCAUGACAUAUCAUUGGCUUUUAUACCGGCCUAAAGCUGAAGAAGCACCAGCUUUAGGUGCCAAAUUAGAUUAAAUAUCUAUGGGCAUAAAAAUGUUCAAAAGUCUCAUGUAUCCUAGUGGUUGCCUGAGAACUUGAUUGAGUUAAUGGUGCCUGGUUCGAUAGAAGAGGGGAGCCAAAAUAAUUUUUGCUUUAGGCAAUAAAGUAUACUGGGUCGGGCCUGUUUAUACGUACUUAGCAAUGUAACUUGAAAUUCCCUUAGGUUUACACUACGCUUGGAACUGACAUUCACACAACUUAAAUAAAUAGCAAAAUUUAAUAGGGCAAUUCUCUCGGAUACUCCUUAAAUUACAAAAAUAGUCUUCAAGAACAAAAAAUGACCCAAAUAUCUUUUUUUUUAUUUUAAAAAUGAACAAAUCUCCAGAAUAUAACAUUUCUAAGUUUAUAUCACAAAAAUAGCACUCAAAAACUA
rnacentral:lncRNA from 1 species